rnacentral:rRNA from 1 species
GAUGAACGCUAGCGGGAGGCCUAACACAUGCAAGCCGAGCGGUAUUGUUUCUUCGGAAAUGAGAGAGCGGCGUACGGGUGCGUAACACGUGUGCAACCUGCCUUUAUCUGGGGGAUAGCCUUUCGAAAGGAAGAUUAAUACUCCAUAAUAUAUUGAACGGCAUCGUUUAAUAUUGAAAGCUCCGGCGGAUAGGGAUGGGCACGCGCAAGAUUAGCUAGUUGGUGAGGUAACGGCUCACCAAGGCGAUGAUCUUUAGGGGGCCUGAGAGGGUGAUCCCCCACACUGGUACUGAGACACGGACCAGACUCCUACGGGAGGCAGCAGUGAGGAAUAUUGGUCAAUGGGUGCAAGCCUGAACCAGCCAUCCCGCGUGAAGGACGACUGCCCUAUGGGUUGUAAACUUCUUUUGUAUAGGGAUAAACCUACCCUCGAGAGGGUAGCUGAAGGUACUAUACGAAUAAGCACCGGCUAACUCCGUG